rnacentral:rRNA from 1 species
GACGAACGCUGGCGGCGUGCUUAACACAUGCAAGUCGAACGGAAAGGCCCUGCUUUUGUGGGGUGCUCGAGUGGCGAACGGGUGAGUAACACGUGAGUAACCUGCCCUUGACUUUGGGAUAACUUCAGGAAACUGGGGCUAAUACCGGAUAGGAGCUCCUGCUGCAUGGUGGGGGGUGGAAAGGUUCGGCGGUUGGGGAUGGUCUCGCGGCUGAUCAGCUUGUUGGUGGGGUAGUGGCUUACCAAGGCUUUGACGGGUAGCCGGCCUGGGAGGGUGACCGGCCACAUUGGGACUGAGAUACGGCCCGGACUCCUACGGGAGGCAGCAGUGGGGAAUAUUGCACAAUGGGCGGAAGCCUGAUGCAGCAACGCCGCGUGCUGGAUGACGGCCUUCGGGUUGUAAACCGCUUUCGCCUGUGCCGAAGCGUGAGUGACGGUAAUGGGUAAAGAAGCACCGGCUAACUACGUG